rnacentral:lncRNA from 1 species
GGAAAGAGCGGAACGCGAGAGUACAGAAGUUAGGUUAUGUUUACUUGGGUCCCGGAGAAUUGUUAUCAUAAGAAACCGUGUAUGAUAUUCGUGAUUUUAAGAGAGAAUUAUUUGCAAAAAUGCCAUUAUUAAUGCGUGUCUUCAGAAGAAACAACACAGAUAUGACAAGAAUUAAAGACGAAAAUGAUUUUCAGUGUUUUAUUUUUUGUAUUCUUUGUAUUAAUUGUUCAACUUGGUGAUACUGACCUUCUCAUGGUGGACUCAUGCAACUGGGAAAAAUUGAUCGCCGACUGAUAAUUUGACGGAUAAUUUUGAUUAAAAGCACACCGAUUGCAUCCAGGAAACCUAUUAGAAAGUACCAUACAAACAGUAUUUUUGCACAUCCCACUGAAUUUAUGUCUCUCGAUAAUGGAAGGUAGAAGGUAAACACUCGAACUACUGACGAACUUUGAGCAGCAGAAAUGGUCACGCCAGCAGGAAAUGGAUGCAAUUUACCCACUAGGCCUGCCCCUGCACCUCCUGGAAGCUCCAUGUCCAGGGGCAUCUCAUCUCUAGACCUAGGAAGUGACAAGAAGCAUGCCAUUGAAUCCACAAGACCGUCUAGUCUUGCUAAUCAAUUUAGAUCUCAUUCAAUGUGCGAUGUUAGUAAGAAAAAGAAACCUCCACCACGGCCUCCCCCACCAAAAAUUGACAACAAGAACAAAAUACAGAACCGUACAACUGUUUUAUCAAAUUUGUUCUCUCGAAAAAAUUCUUUUGCGGCUUCAAGGCCUGCUCACAUCUUUAACUCUGAGAUCACGAAGGCUGUCCACGUUCCAAGUGUACCAGUAGCAUCUCUGAUUGACUUGCAUUCACCUCCUAGUUCACCAACUCUUACCACAAGAUCAAGUAGUGAUGGAGUCAGUGUUGACAGUCUGAGUAGUGACAAUGGAAACACUUCAGCCAGUGGAAAUUACGGAACCGGCUCUCAAGUGGAAAGUGGUUUCGAAGAUGACUUCGCUCUUUUUCCUACGAGCCUCAGUCUUGAGGACACCACCAAACCCGUCACAGACCCUUUCUCCCCUUUGCCAAAAUCAGCAUGCGUCAAUCCAACUUUCCAACUGAGCAAUGAAGAUCCUAAGUUAAAAGUAAAAAUGCUGGACACACCAGCUGUUCGCAACCCCACAAUUAUACGAACAAAGCAGAGUAAAGCACCUUUGAGGCCACCUUUACCCGUAAUAAGUCAAAAUUCAUCUGAGUCUCUAUGGGCAGUCCCGUCCAGCAGCUGUACGCAGCCAUCAGAGUCAAUCUUUGACUUUCCUGAUGAUUUUUCCCCGCCUAUGCCCUCUGUUCCACCACCUCCUCCCCUGCUGAGGUUCUCCAAGCACUAUGCAGUGGGCCACCAGUUCCACCGAGACCAUCAUUUGAGUUUAAACCAUCAAAACGUGUUGAAAGUGAAAAGCCAUACUGCAUUGCUUUGUAUGAUUAUAACGCAGAUGUUGAAAGUGAUUUAUCCUUUAAGGAAAAAGAUGUGA